AUGCAAGAAAGCACUCGCUUCUAUCCAUAUUUCAAGGAUUGUGUUGGAGCAAUUGAUGGGACUCAUGUGCUUGCUAGAGUCCCAAAAAGUAUCUCAGCUGCCUUUAGGGGUAGAAAGGUGGGGACUACCCAAAAUGCCAUGGCUACGGUAGACUUUGAUCUAAAGUUUACCUAUGUACUUGCAGAGGUGGCGGCAAGAGGUGCCAAGACUGAUAAAGGAUUCAAAGAGGUUGAAAAAUUGAAAGUUGCAAAGCAUAUAUCUUCUUUCGUUGGUUAUGACAUGUCUAUUACCCAAGUGCACAAUCAUAUUCACAAGUGGAGGAAUAGGUGGACAAGGCUUGCCUAUUUGAAGGGUUUAAGUGGGGCACUUUGGGAUGAUGACAAGAAGAUGGUAGUGCUAGAAGAACAACACUAUUUGGGCCACACGCAGGAUCAUCCAACAAAUGCUGAAUUGCUCAAUUCUCUACUGGAGAACUACAUCUACAAGGAACUUUGCUUCGCUAAUAAGCAUGCCACUGGGAAGUAUGCAAUGGGCCCCGGUGUGCCCCUAGGAAUGCCUAUUGUUGUCGAAGACAAGGAUAAACUGAAUGUCAUGGAGGGGGAAGGAACAACAGAUGAGGUAUUGCAACAUCAUCCUGGGUCUAACUUUGUACUUCCUACUGCUAGUGCCACUCAGGACCCUUCUCCUACUUCAAAUGAGAAGAGAAAGAGGGCAUCUAGCUUGACUGAGGAGGACUCAAUCCAGUGUAGCAACAUGACUGAUGCUAUGCGUGAGAUUGCAAGUGCUAUCAACAACACUUGA
rnacentral:rRNA from 1 species